GAUGAACGCUGGCGGCGUGCCUAACACAUGCAAGUCGAACGGACUUUUGAUGAAACCUAGUGAUUUAAAAGUUAGUGGCGGACGGGUGAGUAACGCGUGGGUAACCUGCCCUGUACACACGGAUAACAUACCGAAAUCUGUGCUAAUACCGCAUAAUGUUAUUUUAUUGCAUGAUAGAAUAACCAAAGGAGCAAUCCACUCAAAGAUGGACCUGCGUCUGAUUAGCUAGUUGGUGUGGUAACGGCCCACCAAGGCGACGAUCAGUAGCCGACCUGAGAGGGUGAUCGGCCACAUUGGGACUGAGACACGGCCCAAACUCCUACGGGAGGCAGCAGUGGGGAAUAUUGCACAAUGGGGGAAACCCUGAUGCAGCAACGCCGCGUGAGUGAUGAAGUAUUUCGGUAUGUAAAACUCUAUCAGCAGGGAAGAAAUUGACAGUACCUGACUAAGAAGCCCCGGCUAACUACGUG
rnacentral:rRNA from 1 species